GGGGGUUUGCGCUGCUCUUAAAACCUAACAAAACCUCGCUUUCUAUUUGUUCGCGGUACUCGGCUUCUGAGUGCUGGCCAUCGCUCCUCUUGAUCUUCAUCUUGGUGGUGUAUUCAUGAUGCAGACUGGUGAAGCCCCUGCUUCAAUGGAAGUAGAAGCAAUCCCAAAUGGAUUGGGGAUACAAUCUGGAUCUUUGCCAUUGAAGCCAAAGUUUGAGCCUUUGAAGGCUCAUGAGAUGUCUGAUGGUAGAGUUCAGUUCAGAAAGGUUUCAGUUCCACCACACAGGUAUUUGCCGCACAAGAAAGCAUGGAUGGAAAUCUACACUCCAAUAUAUGAGCAGAUGAAGGUUGAUAUUCGUAUGAACCUCAAAGGUAGAAAGGUUGAAUUAAAAACGAGAUCAGAUACACCUGAUGUCAGCAACCUACAGAAGUGUGCGGAUUUUGUACAUGCUUUCAUGCUAGGUUUCGAUGUUGUAGAUGCUAUUGCUCUUUUACGAUUGGAUGAACUAUUUGUGGAAUCUUUUGAAAUCAAAGAUGUUAAGACUGUCAGAGGUGAGCAUUUAUCUCGAGCCAUUGGGAGAUUGUCAGGUAAAGGUGGAAAAACAAAGUUUGCUAUUGAGAAUGCGACAAAAACGAGGAUUGUGAUUGCUGAUACUAAGAUUCACAUAUUAGGAUCUUUUCAAAACAUUAAAAUUGGAAGGGAUUCUCUCUGCAGCCUAAUUUUAGGGUCCCCUGCUGGGAAGGUGUACUCAAAGCUUAGACAAGUUGCUGCUAGACUGGCAGAGAGGUUUUAAUCUUUUAUUUAUGUUGUUUUGAGACUGUGGUUAGCUCCAUACUGUGAUCUGUUAUUCUGAGUGGAAGUUUGUCUUUGUAACUUGGCAUGAUUUUUCUGUAUAAGAGGCCUGGUGAGCUACAAAAAUGAUUCACUAUGAAGGAAAUGAAUAUCAUUUUUUAUGGGUUAUUUGUUGGCAGUUGAUAAGGGAUUUAACUUCUUGUACAUUGUUGUUUCAAGUAUUACUUCUAAUGAAC
rnacentral:misc_RNA from 1 species